GAUGAACGCUAGCGGCAGGCUCAAUACAUGCAAGUCGAGGGGUAGCAAGAUUGUAGCAAUACAAUUGUUGACGACCGGCAAACGGGUGCGGAACACGUACACAACCUUCCUACAAGUGGGGAAUAGCCCAGAGAAAUUUGGAUUAAUACCCCGUAACAUAGCGAUGUGGCAUCACAUUGCUAUUAUAGCUUCGGCGCUUGUUGAUGGGUGUGCGGCUGAUUAGAUAGUUGGCGGGGUAACGGCCCACCAAGUCUACGAUCAGUAGCUGAUGUGAGAGCAUGAUCAGCCACACGGGCACUGAGACACGGGCCCGACUCCUACGGGAGGCAGCAGUAAGGAAUAUUGGACAAUGGACGCAAGUCUGAUCCAGCCAUGCCGCGUGGAGGAUUAAGGUCCUCUGGAUUGUAAACUUCUUUUAUAAGGGACGAAAAAGGGUCUUUCUAGAUCGUCUGACGGUACCUUAUGAAUAAGCACCGGCUAACUCCGUGCCAGCCGCCGCCGUAAGAC
rnacentral:rRNA from 1 species